CGAGAGUUGGGCGCAGCCUGUCUAGCCUGCCGCGUGAGCGAUGAAGGCCUUAGGGUUGUAAAGCUCUUUCAGGGGGGAAGAUAAUGACUGUACCCCCAGAAGAAGCCCCGGCUAACUCCGUGCCAGCAGCCGCGGUAAUACGGAGGGGGCUAGCGUUGUUCGGAAUUACUGGGCGUAAAGCGCACGUAGGCGGACGGAGAAGUCAGAGGUGAAAUCCCAGGGCUCAACCUUGGAACUGCCUUUGAAACUUUCUGUCUUGAGGUCGAGAGAGGUGAGUGGAAUUCCGAGUGUAGAGGUGAAAUUCGUAGAUAUUCGGAGGAACACCAGUGGCGAAGGCGGCUCACUGGCUCGAUACUGACGCUGAGGUGCGAAA
rnacentral:rRNA from 1 species